AACGUUGUGCGCAGUUUUGGCACAUGUGAGCGCCCACGUGGGCAGGCCCGCACCGUGGGCCUAGAUGAGUGUCUCCAGAGCGCCCUCCCCCCCCCCCCGCCCUGGUCAGGCCCAGGUGGCCGCUGGCUUCCCCGGGGCUCCUCCUCAGCAGAGCCAGAGGCGCACCUCUGUGGGUUUCCACUCCGUGGAUGCUGCUGUCCGUCCACCGUGGGAAUCCGUGGCUCCAUCUUGUUAUGGCCAAGUGGGCCUUCCCUGAGUGGCUGUAGUCCGGUUUCUUUUCACUCUUCUCGGUGGACAUUGGAGUGUUUCGAGUUGUGGGCUGUUCUGAAUGAGGCUGGCGGGGACACAGGACGCCGGCAUUCGUGUGGACGCUGCCUUCGCCCUCCUUGGGGAUAUCUGGAGGUGGGAUCGCUUUCCGACCAGGUAGAACCUCUGCUCAUCACAGCGCACAUUGAAGAGGUUUGCAGCACCAUUCACAGGGAGCACCUGGUGCUGUCUGCUGGCCUUGACCAGGCUCUGUUCCGUCCAGCGAUCCCUUGCCUGUGGCUGGACAUGGCAGCUUUAAGCAGCCGGCGGAAGGGACUCCGAGCGUGUGCGCCCGUUGGAGUCAGGACAGCCUAAUUGAAGGCCCGUCUCCGUCCAGACUCCAGGAAUUACAGCCCAGCGCCGGCACUUUCAUUUCUGAGCUCCUGUUCCGUAAUUAGAGCUUGAGGAAAUGGCACACCGUACGCGGGAGUGAGUCUGCCUGCAGCCGGGACAGUCAUCCUGGAAGGAGGAGGUCCAGAGCUCAGACGCGGAGGCACAGUGCGGGCCAGAGCGCGUGCCUGCAGGGCGGAGGGUGGCUCCUCUCUGGGAACUGGUUGCACUGCCCCGAGCACCUGCAGCUGCUGCUGGCUCACGCAGGCCCUGUAUAGAGGGACCACCAGGAGCCACGGGAAGAAGUCCUCGCGGGGUUGUGGAGGGACGCGGUGUGGUCAGAGCAGAGGACUGGUCGACGCCCACCCGGGCAGGCCCCUCUGCUGUGUCCCUUCCUUCCCCUCCCUCUGCCUGUCUUCCGCGCACUGCUCCCAGUGCCCUCAGCCCCAAGCCCUGUGGACUAGAGGCAGAGCUGGCCCAGCCACUGCUGAGGCAGAAGGACCGUGACCUGGGGACUGGGCUGACGUAAAAGUCCCUGAAAAUUCACUGCAGAUGGGUCCUGUGCUGCAGCAGGUUACGCCGGUGCUCAGGAUGCCCACAUCACAUGUGGGGGUGACUGUUCAAGCCCCAGCUGCUCCACUUCCAGUCCGGCUCCUGCUCCGUGGACGAUGGCCCAAGGACUGAGGUCCCUGCCACCCAUUUGUGAGACCCAGAUGGGGUCCUGGCUCCUGGCUUUGGCUUGGCCCAGCCCCGGCUGCUGCACAUUUGGGGAAUGAACCUGUAGAUGGAAGAUGGGUCUCCCCCCCCCCCACCUCCUUCUCCCUCCCCCACCCCCUCUACCUUUCAAAUAAAUUUUUAAAUUAAUUCA
rnacentral:lncRNA from 1 species